rnacentral:sRNA from 1 species
UGGCCAGGAAGUGUGGUCACAUUCCACGAG